rnacentral:lncRNA from 1 species
UAUUUGUUCAUAGGGUACUCUAAGAAAAUUAAAGAGUACUACUGCUACCUUACUAAAGGGCAAAAGGUGUUCGUCAGCAACAGAGCAUUCUUUUUAGAAAAAAAGUUUUUUGGAGAAGGAACUAAUGUCACUAAAAUCGAACUUAAUGAAGUUUGUGAGGUAGAAAUAUCGAUACAUACAGAAUCAGAUUUGAUUAGAGAAUCAAAUUCAGAGCCUAUAGAGGCGCUAUUAAAA